rnacentral:rRNA from 1 species
GAUGAACGCUAGCGGGAGGCCUAACACAUGCAAGCCGAGCGGUAUUUGUUCUUCGGAACAGAGAGAGCGGCGCACGGGUGCGGAACACGUGUGCAACCUGCCUUUAUCUGGGGGAUAGCCUUUCGAAAGGAAGAUUAAUACCCCAUAAUAUAUUGAGUGGCAUCAUUUGAUAUUGAAAACUCCGGUGGAUAGAGAUGGGCACGCGCAAGAUUAGAUAGUUGGUGAGGUAACGGCUCACCAAGUCAAUGAUCUUUAGGGGGCCUGAGAGGGUGAUCCCCCACACUGGUACUGAGACACGGACCAGACUCCUACGGGAGGCAGCAGUGAGGAAUAUUGGACAAUGGGUUAGCGCCUGAUCCAGCCAUCCCGCGUGAAGGACGCCGGCCCUAUGGGUUGUAAACUUCUUUUGUAUAGGGAUAAACCUACUCUCGUGAGAGUAGCUGAAGGUACUAUACGAAUAAGCACCGGCUAACUCCGUG